rnacentral:lncRNA from 1 species
UGAAUUCAUAAAACCAGGGGAGAUAUCUUUUUAUAUUAUUUGUUUCUCUGUUACAGUACUAGUUAUAUAUACUCUAUAACAAAUAUAUAAACUGUAUAUUUAGGACCCUUAGAUUUAUCAUAUUUGCACAUUGAAUGAGUAUGUAUAAUAGAGAAUAGAAAUGUUAUAGAAGAGCACCUGGCCCGCAGUAAAUAAUGUAUAAGUCAACCAAACUCAGCAGCAUUGUUAUUACAAUGAUAAAUAUUUCUUCCAAUUUGACUUUAAAUGUUUUUAUUUUAACAUAAUGCUGCCUUUUUUUUUUGCCUUGGUGUUCCAGAGUUCUUCUGAGCUGAGAGAUUAUUAUUCAAUAAAGAAGGUGUUAUGAACUGUUUUUAUUUCCCCAAUAUUCAUUUGUUAAUUUGGAAAUGAGGGCUUUGGGAGAUAAUUAGGGUUAGGUGAGGUUAUAAGGGUGGGUCUCUUAGGACUAGUGGCUUUUCUUUUUAAUAUGCAAGAUUUCAUCAUGAAUUAGUGGCCUUAUGAUGGGAAGAAAGAGAGAUCUCCCUUCUUCUUAAUGUGUAUGCAUCAAGGAGGAAAGGUAAAGUAAGAAGGCAGCUGUCUGCAAGCCAGGGAAAGAGUCCUCACCAGGAACUGAAUUAUCCAGCACCUUUAUCUCAUGCUUCCUAGUCUCCACAACUGUGAGGAUCAAUUUCUGUUGUUUAAAUCAUCCAUUUGGCAUUCUGUUAUGGUAGCCUGAGAUGAUUACUAU